AUUGAACGCUGGCGGCAGGCCUAACACAUGCAAGUCGAGCGAGCGGCCGACGGGUGAGUAAUGUCUGGGAAACUGCCUGACGGAGGGGGAUAACUCCUGUAAACGGUAGCUAAUACCGCAUACCAUCAGAUGUGCCCAGAUGGGAUUAGCUAGUAGGUGGGGUAAAGGCUCACCUAGGCGACGACCCCUAGCUGGUCUGAGAGGAUGACCAGCCACAGUGGAACUGAGACACGGUCCAGAAUCCUACGGGCAGCAGGAGGGGGGAAUAUUGCACAAUGGGCGCAAGCCUGAUGCAGCCAUGCCGCGUGUAUGAAGAAGGCCUUCGGGUUGUAAAGUACUUUCAGCGGGGAGGCGUUAACCGCAGAAGAAGCACCGGCGAACGCCGUGCCAGCAGCCGCGGUAAUUC
rnacentral:rRNA from 1 species